rnacentral:rRNA from 1 species
UACGUAGGGGGCAAGCGUUGUCCGGAAUCAUUGGGCGUAAAGAGCUCGUAGGCGGCUCGUUGCGUCGGCUGUGAAAACCCGCAGCUCAACUGUGGGCUUGCAGCUGAUACGGGCGGGCUGGGAUUCGGUAGGGGAGACUGGAAUUCCUGGUGUAGCGGUGAAAUGCGCAGAUAUCAGGAGGAACACCGGUGGCGAAGGCGGGUCUCUGGGCCGAUAUCGACGCUGAGGAGCGAAAGCGUGGGGAGCGAACAGG